UUAAUUUCACAGUAUAUUAUAUAAUGGCAGUGAGCCGAUUAAGUGUUGUUCGUGUCUUACUGUCUUUAGUGAUCCAUGCUGCAGAGCGACAUGGAAGUUUGCCAACUAACACCAGCGAGUAACUUCACCCACUCUAGGAAAAGGUUUCAAUUUGUGGAGAUGAAACAUACCAUUUUUGAUUUCACAGAUUAUAAUUAGCCAAUGCGUUCGAAACCAGUUCAAGCUACAACAAUCACCUUCCACUGGUUGGUCAUCAUUUUGUUAGAGUGGAGUAUGAGAGCAGUCAACAGCACAUUCAGAAAACUUUAAAGACGCCUAGCUUUCUAGGAGCGGUAGGGUUGAACCAAAGCCCACCAAAUAUUUCCAUCAACGCUUUCAAAAUCUUAUGUGCAUCAUAUAUGUGUGUCCUGUAAUUUCAAAAUGCUUAGUUUUAUGCGAGGCUCGUGACCCAAAAUGUCAAGGUAACCUUCGUGCCAGAAGUUUGUCUGUGAACCCAAUUUAAAGUCAAUGAAUGGUAUGUCAGUCAGAAUACUUUUAAUUGUAAAUACUACCUGAAUUUUUUUUUCCAAAUGUCUUAAGCAUUAAACAUCGGGGAUAUAAUUUGUGAAACCCCAACAGAGGGCAUUAGAUAGAAAAUAAGAUUGGAGGUGUGCAGGACGUUCUGAGCAGACAGAACCCACAAACCUUCUUGCAGCUUUACACACUCAAACAACUCGCUAUUCCUGAUAAUUCUGAAUAUACAUGACAUACGGUUUUAAGGCUCGAUUUCUGUUGCGUUCCUUUGUCAGACACCUUACCAAAUAGAGGGUGUAGACUCUGUUUUAAAACCUUUAAUACACGCAGUUUCUACAGAUGUCUUAAUAAUAAUAAUAAUCAUCUACUACAAGGAUUGGGCCUAUUGACCCGUCCCAGGACAGAUUCUCGGGCAACUUGUCCCCAUUAGUCUUGUAGGGUGCAUUUGUGAGUAGUGAGUGACCAGCCAACUGCCUCCACACAAUUUCUAGUCAAUCCUGAUUUUUGUCUGCUACAGCCAUGUAAUAGGGAUCAGGAUACACGUGAGUGAGAAACACAGCCGCUGAGUUUUGCUGAACAACAUUAAUUCUCUCAUGCUUGCAGGUUUACCUUUCGUAAAUCUAAGACAUGGGGCGAAGGAUAUUGUGCUAUGGAUUUUUAUCACCCUCGACCGGGUUUGAACCUGCGAACUGUGGGUCCAGGUCCAGUGGCAAGGACACUAACCACUAGGCCACGGACCACUGAGGGUAGUGCCUUAAUAUCUGAGGAAGGCCAGCCACGCCGGGUGAAGAAGAAUAUGCGACAUAUGCCGGAAUCUACGGCAGUGUUUGGUGGGCGGGCGGAGUAGGUGCCAUGCAUGGGAUGCCAGGUUUGCAACAGGCACGACCGUCUUUUACCAGCACUUAUGACACCCGUGAGUCAGGCGGCAUAGUCUGUCAAAAGUACCAGCCAGUGCUGGGCCUGCAGCCGACAUACAGCAGAACGAGUACUGUCCGCCCCCUCAGGGUUAUAUCAAAACAAAUGGUGAACCGACGUUUCAACAAGCGGUGUUAGACAAAAAAAAUGUUAUGAUUGGUUUUGUUAUUUUUUUCAAGGAAAAUAAGCUACUUUUAAAUGUUUUUAAUUUAUGUUAAAACAUGUUCAAUAAAAUUGUUAUUCUUAUAAAAAUGGGAUGUUUAUUUGUAAUGAAAACCCAAAGUGACCAUUGAGCCAUCAUUGCCGCUACCAAGUGUUGCACUUCCGGUUUGACGCUUCUUGUCUGUCAACUGUUUCCUUGUGUACAUUUAUUCAGCUUUAUGAGAGACAGCCAGUUCAAAAACGUGCUUCCAAAUAUAUCUUUUUCGAUCGGCUGCCCCCUGCCACAGAUUCGGAUAUUUGUCUUUAGGAAGAAGCCACUCACAUUUUUAGAUAUGGGCCUAGAACAAUUCGUAUAAACUGCAGAAUGGGUUCAGCGUCUUGUUUCUAUGCUCCUGAAUGACUAUCAGAUAUUCUGAAAUGUUGAGAACAAUGCUCUGCUCAAACGGAAGUGUACGUACGUAGACAAUUGCAUAUGGCUGCUGGAAUUGUUGAGUGCGUUCAUCCACCACCAACCACGACUCAUCUUGUGUUUAUUGAUAAAAUAUUUUCUAGCAGUUUUGAAAGUGACAAGAAUUAUGAAUCAGCUGUCAAUGAAAUAACUGUAAUAACCCCCAGAAGGGCAAGGCAUUGUUCAUUUUACUUACAAAUUGGCAUUUCCCAUGAGGUUUGGUAUUUAGCUGAUUCAACUGCCUGGAAAUUUGCGUCACGAAUUUGAACGUUCAAUGCCACUGACUGGUUGUCCUUUUUCGAUAAGGAAAACUUUGGUCUCUUCUAAUAAUGAUGAAACAAAGCUCGCGCAACUUCGUCUUUGAAUUUAGUCAAGGAACACCUUUAAAUGUCUUUGGUUUAGGUCACGUGGCGUUAAAAGAAUCAGGUACACUGACUACAGCAGUCAUAAUUCUUUUAAAUACCAUGUCUUUGCAAUGCUCCUGCAUUAAUUCAUGCUGGACUCUUGCAUACACCACCGAAGAAAUGUCACCAUGAAGAUGGUUGUCUUCUGGUAGAAGUUUUCGGCGAACGUCUACCAGUAAAAACCCAUGAGAC